CGCGUCCUUCAUUGUGGCUGAAAGAUACAGAACCCACGCCUCCUGUACUGGGGCUGACAGACACAGAGGCCACGCCUCCUUUAAAGGGGCUGAAAGAGACAGAGGCCACGCCUCCUUUACAGGGGCUGAAAGAGACAGAGGCCACGCCUCCUUUACAGGGGCUGAAAGAGACAGAGGCCACGCCUCCUUUACAGGGGCUGAAAGAGACAGAGGCCACGCCUCCUUUACAGGGGCUGAAAGAGACAGAGGCCACGCCUCCUUUACUGGGGCUGAAAUAGACAGAGGCCACGCCUCCUUUACAGGGGCUGAAAGAGACAGAGGCCACGCCUCCUUUACAGGGGCUGACAAAGGCCAUACCUCCUUUACAGAGGCUGAAAGAUAGAGGUCAUGCCUCCUAUACAAGGGCUGAAAGAGACAGAGGCCACGCCUCCUUUACAGGGGCUGAAAGAUACAGAGGCCACAGCACCUUCACUGGGACUGAUGCACAGAGGCCAUGCCACCUCACUGGGACUGACAUACAGAGGCCACACCUCCUUUACAGGGUCUGACAUACACAGAACCCUGAAGUCUGAAGAUUAGCUCUGAGAAUAAGUGAUAUCCGGUGUGAAUGAUGGAAGAAUUGAAAAUUUUAAGAAAUUCUAAAACUCAAAUUGCACACCUUGAUAAGUAAAAGAAGUAAUGAGGAGAGACUGAGGGGGAGAGAGAGCAGGAGAGAGUCAGGACUGGGAUGGAGGGUCAGGACUGGGUGCCGUGGAGGUGAUAUUGAGUCAUCAGCUGUCAUGGGUAUGCAGAUGGGAAAACUCCCAAGAUGCUUAGUGAUUCAGGAGCAAGUCAGUCUACAGCACUGAGUCACAGGCGAUGUGUACAGUAAUUUGCUUACACUGAUGAAUGACAGUUAUGAGUCGUGGGCAGAGUGAACUGAAAAAGCUUGACUGCACAAUAAAUGCAGAUUACAGCUCUGGAUUUUGGAAGGAUUUAUGUUUCGUUGUUUUGGUGCUGGAGAUUAGUUGAAUUUCAAUGUGUGAAGAUGACUCAAAGCUCAGUUCUGAAGCGUACUACGUACAUCCUGAAUGUGGCACGCGCAACCCAGACAACGUG
ensembl:lncRNA